rnacentral:rRNA from 1 species
GUGCCAGCAGCCGCGGUAGUAGGGAGCGGUGUCCGCGAUUAUAUCUGGAAUUACUGGGCGUAAAGCGCACGCAGGCGGUCUGUCAAGUCGGAUGUGAAAUCCCCCGGGCUCAACCUGGGAACUGCAUUCGAAACUGGCAGGCUAGAGUCUUGUAGGGGGGGGUAGAAUUCCAGGUGUAGCGGUGAAAUGCGUAGAGAUCUGGAGGAAUACCGGUGGCGAAGGCGGCCCCCUGGACAAAGACUGACGCUCAGGUGCGAAAGCGUGGGGAGCAAACAGGAUUAGAUACCCUGGUAGUCC